rnacentral:rRNA from 1 species
CCUACGGGUGGCAGCAGUGAGGAAUAUUGGUCAAUGGACGAGAGUCUGAACCAGCCAAGUAGCGUGAAGGAUGACUGCCCUAUGGGUUGUAAACUUCUUUUAUAUGGGAAUAAAAUGUUCCACGUGUGGGAUUUUGUAUGUACCAUAUGAAUAAGGAUCGGCUAACUCCGUGCCAGCAGCCGCGGUACUACGGAGGAUCCGAGCGUUAUCCGGAUUUAUUGGGUUUAAAGGGAGCGUAGGUGGAUUGUUAAGUCAGUUGUGAAAGUUUGCGGCUCAACCGUAGAAUUGCAGUUGAAACUGGCAGUCUUGAGUACAGUAGAGGUGGGCGGAAUUCGUGGUGUAGCGGUGAAAUGCUUAGAUAUCACGAAGAACUCCGAUGGCGAAGGCAGUUCACUGGACUGCAACUGACACUGAGGCUCGAAAGUGUGGGUAUCAAACAGGAUUAGAUACCCCAGUAGUC